AACCAUGGCUCAGGAUGAACGCUAGCUACAGGCUUAACACAUGCAAGUCGAGGGGCAGCAUUUUAGUUUGCUUGCAAACUAAAGAUGGCGACCGGCGCACGGGUGAGUAACACGUAUCCAACCUGCCGAUAACUCAGGGAUAGCCUUUCGAAAGAAAGAUUAAUACCUGAUGGCAUAGGAUUAGCGCAUGAUGAUCCUAUUAAAGAAUUUCGGUUAUCAUGGGGAUGCGUUCCAUUAG
rnacentral:rRNA from 1 species